rnacentral:rRNA from 1 species
UUAAUGUUCUCGAGUAAGACGGGACACGUGAAAUCUUGUCUGAAUAUGGGGGGACCACCCUCCAAGCCUAAGUACUCUUGUGUGACCGAUAGUGAACUAGUACCGUGAGGGAAAGGUGAAAAGAACCCCGACGAGGGGAGUGAAAUAGAUCCUGAAAUUGAAUGCUUACAAGCUGUCGAAGCCCGNAAGGGUGACGGCGUACCUUUUGUAUAAUGGGUCAGCGAGUUAGUUUAAAGUGCAAGCUUAAGCCNUAAGGUGUAGGCGCAGCGAAAGCGAGUCUNAAUAGGGCGANAGUACUUUGGAUUAAACCCGAAACCGAGUGAUCUAGCCAUGAGCAGGUUGAAGAUAAGGUAACACUUAUUGGAGGACCGAACCAGUUGACGUUGAAAAGUCUUUGGAUGACUUGUGGUUAGGGGUGAAAGGCCAAUCAAACUCGGAUAUAGCUGGUUCUCCGCGAAAACUAUUUAGGUAGUGCGUCAUAUGAAUACCAUCGGGGGUAGAGCACUGGAUGGGCAAGGGGGGAGAGAUCCUUACUAAGUCCAACCAAACUCCAAAUACCGAUGAGUANUGUAUGGCAGACAGACUACGGGUGCUAAGGUCCGUAGUCAAAAGGAAAACAGUCCAGACCAACAGCUAAGGUCCCCAAGUUAUUGUUAAGUGGGAAAGGAUGUCGGACGACCAAAACAGCCAGGAGGUUGGCUUAGAAGCAGCCAUCCUUUAAAGAAAGCGUAACAGCUCACUGGUCUAAAUAAGUUAUCCGGCGCCGAAGAUGUAACGGGGCUAAACAAUACACCGAAGCUUUGGACACAAUUUAUUGUGUGGUAGCGGAGCGUUCCGUACGUUGUUGAAGGGAGACUCGUGAGAGCUCCUGGAGAUAUCGGAAGUGAGAAUGCUGACAUGAGUAGCGACAAACAGAGUGAGAAACUCUGUCGCCGAAAAUCCAAGGGUUCCUGCGCAAGGCUAAUCCGCGCAGGUUGAGUCGGCUCCUAAGGCGAGGACGAAAGUCGUAGUCGAUGGGAACAAGGUUAAUAUUCCUUGACCAGAUGAGAUGUGACGGAUGACGUAAAUUGUCUAUCCUUAUAUGGAUUGGAUAGGCAGUGAAGUUGUUCCAGGAAAUAGCCUCAUCAUAGACCGUACCCGAAACCGACACAGGUGGAUAGGUAGAGGAUACCAAGGCGCUUGAGAGAACUAUGCUGAAGGAACUCGGCAAAUUGCCUCUGUAACUUCGGAAGAAGGAGGACCUAUGUUUGGGCAACCAGAUGUGGGUGGCACAGAAAUGGGGGUAGCAACUGUUUAUUAAAAACACAGGACUCUGCAAAGCCGCAAGGCGAAGUAUAGGGUCUGACGCCUGCCCGGUGCCGGAAGAUUAAAGUGAGUGGUGCAAGCUACGACCUGAAGUCCCGGUGAACGGCGGCCGUAACUAUAACGGUCCUAAGGUAGCGAAAUUCCUUGUCGGGUAAGUUCCGACCUG